GUCAUAUGCUUAAUUCAAGGGCUAAGCCAUGCAAGUCUAAGAGAAAAUGGCAAAAUCAAAAUUGGGUCUGCGCAUGGCUCAUUAUAUCAGCAACGGUCUACUUUUGGACAAAAAACACUCUGGGUUUCCCAGAAAAAAAUGCAAAAAGCAAAAAACAUGAAUUCAAAAAUUGCUUGGGUUGUUUUACAAUGAUGUGACCCAAUGAUGGUGAUGAUGAUGGUAACAAACUUGCUCAAAAAUGAACGGUGUAAAAACUGAGUUGGUUUUUAUGUCGAGGUACAAAGUGGAGAAAAAAUGAAGAAGAAAAGGGCACAAUGUGAAAAAUGCAGCUGAGUGUGUUGCUCUCUGUUUUCUACACCGUUCAUUUCUCUGCGCUUGCUUCGUUAUUAUCAUCACCAAAAAAAAGCAAUCUAAAAAGACAAAUCUGCAAGCAUGAUGCCGGAUACUCCAUAAUUGAUUAUGGAUAUCCAAACAAAAUGUUCGGUUAAUACACGAAAACUCUACAAAAAACAAUCCUCACCUCGAUUGCCCAAAAAAAAAGAACCAAAAUGCCUGGUUACUACUACAAAGAUUUUUCACUGCUUUGGGUGGCAGAGGUGAGGUGCGUUUGGCUGAAAUUUAAAAGACUGGCGCUCGAGAAGAGCAGUGUCAAAUCAAUGAAACACGGAUGAAUCAGGCCACUGUACUUUACAUCUUUCCUUUGCUCGAGAUGUAUCAAAAAGAACAGUGCGUGGGUGCGUGUUCGGAAUGCGUUGUUUGUUGUUGCUUCUCGCAGCACAAAUGCCAUGCAAGGCCAAUUCUCACGCACACCUCUUGUUUAUUAUCAAAAAGUGGGCCUGUGUGUGUGAAAGAGGAAGAUGAAGACGGAAAAAAAAACAACUGAUUGACAGACAAACCACCCGUUAUGCCAAAAAUGGGAAAAAAGGAACCAAAAAAACACAAUGCUCUAGCAGACUUCUGGAAAGCAAAAGUGCUCAUAUCAUGAGUAUUACAAAUAAAAAUGUGCGCCGCUGCUUUCCAGAACGAAUUUCUGCCCCAUCAUGCUGUUGAUUGUGGUUUAGUGGUUCAUAGUGGCGGUCACGGGUAACGGGGAAUCUGGGUUCGAUUCCGGAGAGGGAGCCCGAGUAACGGCUACCACCGCUAAGGCGGGCAGCAGGCACGCAAAUUGCCCAUUACUAACGCUGUUAGUGAGGCAGCGACGAAACGUAGCAACUCUUCCUAUUCUUCGUAGUAGGAUGAGCUUGCAAUGGAUGCUGUAUUUAUAACUCGCAAUUGAGUAACAACUGGAGGGCAAGUCUGGUGCCAGCAGCCGCGGUAAUUCCAGCUCCAUUAGUGUACACUAAUGUUGUUGCCGUUAAAAAGCUCGUCGUUUUUAUCCAAGAUUGUGGAGCUAUGGGCCGGUUAAAAACACUUCCCCUGUAUAACAAGGGUUGUGCAACUCUGGCUCGUAGUAAAAAAGCACAUCUUUUUCUAUGAAAAAGAAAACUUUUUCCCACAAUCUCGUUUGCAAAUUGCUAAAUCAACGUGGAAGUUGGUUAGGGUGUGUGCGUUGCACUCCGAGCGAAGUUAAAUCCAACAUUUUUCUCGUCUCGUGAUGCUUCCACAUACGCUAAAAAAUCCUUUUACUCUUCCCCAAACGGAUCAAUUGCCUUCACUGGCAAUGGGAAGUGGAGAUGCUCAUCACAUGAGUAAAAGUGCAAAAAACACGGAUCAACACAAGGUCAAAAUAUAUGCCAGAAGAAAAAUGCAAAAAAGAGUGGGAAUAUUGUGUAUUUCUCUGUGUCGCUUAGUAGCCACCUGAAGGGGGUAGUGGGAGUGAGAUCUUCUCUCUCUCUCUCUUUCUCUCCUUCUGUAACUGUGACUACGGAUACAAAAGAUAGUAUGCAAAAUCAUUUCCUUCUUCUGCGCCUUGUUGUUAUGGUUUGACAAACCUCCGGAAUAUCUACCCAAACAAAACUCAUCUUAUUUCCAAAUUUUUGGAAUCCAUAAGAUGCUUGUAAAUAUUCCGUGGGGACUUGCACUCUUCCCUUCGGGGCGUCCACGGUAGUUACCGUGAAAAACACAACGCGUUCAAAGCGACCAUACUUUUUCAAUAAAAUAUGGCCGCAUGUCUGUGAGCAUGGAAUAACAAGGGAUCGGCCAGUGACUUUUACCGUCACUAUAAAAAACGGUAAAUAAAGGGCUAUUUCGUUUCUGCCAGUGUUCAAAGUCCCAACGUGGAUAAUACGGUGUGUGAUGCCUUGACGGUUGAAAGUUCUUUUGCAGUCGCGUAUGAUGAUCACCCUUUACCAUAAAGGGGAAGAAUACUCUCUCGCGUACUCAAAACUACUUUUGUGAUUCCAGUCGGGUACACCCAUCGCACCGGAAGAGAUGGAAUUCCUUUGCGUAAUGUGGAUUGCAACGAGAGAGGUGAAAUUCUUAGACCGUUGUGGGACAAACUGUGGCGAAGGUGCUUUGCUGGAGCAUUUUCAUCUAUCAAGAACGAGAGUGUGGGGAGCGAAGAUGAUUAGAUACCGUCGUAGUCCAUUGACCGUAAACAAUGCCAGCUGGGCAUAGGUCAUGGGUAUGAUGUUUCCCCAAACGUGUUCUGUUCCAGUAAUCUUUCCAUACCGAGAAAUCCAGAGAGCUUCUGGGUUCAGGGGGGAGUACUGUCGCAAGGCUGAAACUUAAAGGAAUUGACGGAAUGUUACCACAAGGCGUGGAGUAUGCGGCUUAAUUUGACUCAACACGGGAAACGUUACCAGGUCAGGACGUUGUUGUGAUUGACAGACUGAAAGCUCUUUCUUGAUUCUUUGGAGGGUGGUGCAUGGCCGUUCUUGGUUGGUGAAGUGAUUUGUCUGGUUGAUUCCGAUAACGAGCGAGAUCUUUACCUUUUAGUAGUCCUGGUCUCGUAUAUUACGUAGAGCAAGCCAUCUUGUUGAAGCGGCUUACCCUCUGGAAUUUACUUUCAGUGUGGUGAGUUCUUUUCGCGAGAUACAUUGUGCUGUGCUCGAGAGACUUGGGAAAUACUUGGUCAGCAAUGCUUUUUUACGAAAAUGUUGCCUCUCUAACUUCUUAAUGGGACAAGAUGCAUCUAAAAGUGUCCGGAAGCGAGAGCCAACAGCAGGUCUGUGAUGCUCCUAAAUGUUCUGGGCCGCACGCGCACUACAAUGGUGUGUCGAGUGAGCUCAACAAACGUUUGCAUUUAAUUUUGGGUUCGCUUCGGUGAGCCUGAAACCCAACCUGUAAAGGUUUCUUUUACGGGUAAUCAACCGAAACCAUGCCGUUAUUGGGAUAGAUGAUUGAAACUAUUUGCCUUGAACGAGGAAUGCCUUGUACGCGCGAGUCAUUAGCUCGCACGGAAUGAGUGCCUAUCAUUUGUACACACCGCCCGUCGUUGCUACCGAUGGUGCAGGGAUAAAGACCUCAGGAGAUGAUGAUUGUGAUGAUGAUGAUGAUGAUGAUGCUGACGAAAGAUAGUACACUACUAUUGUUGUGCUGCUACCUUCUCGUUGCCGCCGUCGUCGUCGUCGUCGGAAAAAAAAAGCACAAAGAAAAAAAGGAUAUACAUCAUCGGCGUGUUGUGUCCAACCAGCUACUUAAACAAGCUUAUUAAAGAAUUGUAGUUGGUUGGAACACAGACGACCAUCGUGCCUUUUGUGGGAAUGUGCACCACAAUAAAAAAAAGAAACAUCAUCGAAUCUGGGCAAUGCCCCUUCACUAGAGGAAGCAAAAGUCGUAACAAGGUUGCUGUAGGUGAA
rnacentral:rRNA from 1 species